rnacentral:rRNA from 1 species
UGGCUCAGAUUGAACGCUGGCGGCAUGCUUUACACAUGCAAGUCGAACGGUAACGCGGACUUCGGUCUGGCGACGAGUGGCGAACGGGUGAGUAAUGCAUCGGAACGUAUCCAUUUGUGGGGGAUAGCCCGGCGAAAGCCGGAUUAAUACCGCAUAAUCUCUGAGGAGGAAAGUGGGGGACCUUCGGGCCUUACGCUGAUGGAGCGGCUGAUGUCGGAUUAGCUUGUUGGUAGGGUAAAGGCCUACCAAGGCGACGAUCCGUAGCUGGUCUGAGAGGACGACCAGCCACACUGGAACUGAGACACGGUCCAGACUCCUACGGGAGGCAGCAGUGGGGAAUUUUGGACAAUGGGGGCAACCCUGAUCCAGCCAUGCCGCGUGCGGGAAGAAGGCCUUCGGGUUGUAAACCGCUUUCAGACGGAAAGAAACAGUACAAGCUAAUACCUUGUACGAAUGACGGUACCGUCAGAAGAAGCACCGGCUAACUACGUGCCAGCAGCCGCGGUAAUACGUAGGGUGCGAGCGUUAAUCGGAAUUACUGGGCGUAAAGAGUGCGCAGGCGGCUCUCUAAGACAGGUGUGAAAUCCCCGGGCUUAACCUGGGAAUGGCGCUUGUGACUGGAGAGCUAGAGUGUGGCAGAGGGGGAAUGGAAUUCCUGGUGUAGCAGUGAAAUGCGUAGAUAUCAGGAGGAACACCGAUGGCGAAGGCAGUUCCCUGGGCCAACACUGACGCUCAUGCACGAAGCGUGGGGAGCAAACAGGAUAG